rnacentral:rRNA from 1 species
GACGAACGCUGGCGGCGUGCUUAACACAUGCAAGUCGAACGAGGCCCUGCCUUCGGGCAGGUGACCUAGUGGCGAACGGGUGAGUAACACGUGGGCAACCUACCCUCAGCUCUGGGAUAACCCCGGGAAACCGGAGCUAAUACCGGAUAUGACCUGGAACGACAUCGUUCUUGGUGGAAAGUUUUUCGGCUGAGGAUGGGCCCGCGGCCUAUCAGCUUGUUGGUGGGGUAAUGGCCUACCAAGGCGACGACGGGUAGCCGGCCUGAGAGGGCGAACGGCCACACUGGGACUGAGACACGGCCCAGACUCCUACGGGAGGCAGCAGUGGGGAAUAUUGCGCAAUGGGCGAAAGCCUGACGCAGCGACGCCGCGUGAGGGAUG